GAGAAAAGGUCAAAGGGAUAC
rnacentral:misc_RNA from 1 species